rnacentral:rRNA from 1 species
GGUUUGAUUCUGGCAGAUUGAACGCUGGCGGGAUGCUUUACACAUGCAAGUCGAACGGCAACACGGACUUCGGUCUGGUGGCGAGUGGCGAACAGGUGAGUAAUGUAUCGGAACGUGCCUAGUAGCGGGGGAUAACUACGCGAAAGCGUAGCUAAUACCACAUACGCCCUUCGAGGAAAGCGAGACCUUCGGGCCUCGCACUAUUAAACGGCGAUAUCAGUUAGCUAGUUGGUGGGGUAACGGCUCACCAAAGGCGACGAUCCGUAGCUGGUUUGAGAGGACGACCAGCCACACUGGGACUGGAGACACGGCCCAGACUCCUACAGGGAGGCAGCAGUGGGGGCACCGGACAAUGGGGAAACCUGAUCCAGCCAUCCCGCGUGUGCGAUGAAGGCCUUCGGGUUAGCUUUUGGCAGGAGAAAACGGCGGGAUAAUACCCGUGCAACUGACGGUACCUGCAGAAUAAGCACCAGUAACCACGUGCCAGCAGCCGCGGUAAUACGUAGGGUGCAAGCGUUAAUCGAAUUACUGGGCGUAAAGCGUGCGCAGGCGGUUCGGAAGAAAGAUGUGAAAUCCCAGAGCUUAACUUUGGAACUUUGUUUAACUACCGAGCUAGAGUGUGUCAGAGGGAGAGUGGAAUUCCGCGUGUAGCAGUGAAAUGCGUAGAUAUGCGGAGGAACACCGAUGGCGAAGGCGGCGCCUCCUGGGACAACACUGACGCUCAUGCACGAAAAGCGUGGGGAGCAAACAGGAUUAAGAUGCCCUGGUAGUCCACGCCCUAAACGAUGUCAACUAGCUAUUGGGGCCUUCGGGCCUUGGUACCAGCUAACGCGUGAAGUUGACCGCCUGGGGAGUACGGUCGCAAGAUUAAAACUCAAAGAAAUUGACGGGGACCCGCACAAGCGGUGGAUGAUGUGGAUUAAUUCGAUGCAACGCGAAACCUUACGUACCCUUGACAUGUCUGGAAUCGAGGUGGGAGUGCUCGCAAGAGAACCGGAACACAGGUGCUGCAUGGCUGUCGUCAGCUCGUGUCGUGAGAUGUUGGGUUAAGUCCUAGCGGCGCAACCCUUGUCGGUAGAUUGCUACGAAGGGCACUCUAAUGAGACUGCCGGUGACAAACCGGAGGAAGGUGGGGAUGACGUCAAGUCCUCAUGGCCCUUAUGGGUGGGGCUUCACCACGUCAUACAAUGGUCGGGACAGAGGGUCGCCGAAGACCCGCGAGGAGAAGACCAAUCCCAGAAACGAUCGUAGUCCGGAUCGCAGUCUGCAACUCGACUGCGUG